rnacentral:lncRNA from 1 species
UUCAUCGGUGUCAUGGCAGCACAAAGAACAACACAAGUAACAUAAAUUACAUUCAAUUUAUUUAGCAAUUAGCACACUUUUGGCUUACAUCUCACGGGCUCGAACGAAUUGAGUUUACAAAUUUAUUAACUUACUGUAACAUAAGUAAACUGGUCAGAAUGCACUUAACUUCAUCGAAGAUGGACGACGUACAUGGACGGAGAUCAUCGACGCAUGCUGGGAACUGGUGGACGUGUGGGAGUGGCACGACUACAACUUGUUGUCGCAGAAAAGGGUGGGGCUUUCGUCCUAGCCGUUCUUGAGGUCGGCGCACCUGGCUGCAGUGUCGUCGACCGGUUUGAGGCCACCGUUGCUCCUGUUGACGCUCUUGAGGUCGCAGCAGAACGAGCGGCUCUUGCUGACAUUCUUGAGGUCGCAGAAGGAGCCACCGUCACUGAUGCCGCUGACAUUCUUGAGGUCAUGGACGAAUUUGUCGUUGUUGAUGUUCUUGAGGUUGCGGACGGAUUUGUCGUUGUUGACGUUCUUGAGGUUGCAUGCUGAUUUGCAGUCGUUGAAGUUCUUGAGGUCGCGGACUGAUUUGCCGUUGUUGACGUUCUUGAGGUCGCGUGUGGAUUAGCCGUUGUUGAAGUUCUCGAGGUAGCGGGUUGAGCCGACGUUGUUGAUACUCUUGAGCGCGUGGGCGGAACUGCCAUUGCUGACGUUCUUGAUGCGGUGGAGGAAGCCACUCUUGCUGACGAUCUUGAGGCCACAGGUGUAGCCACCCUUGGUGACUUUGUUGAGGGCACGCGCGGAGCCACCAUUGUUGAUGGUCUUGAGGUAGCCGCCGGGGUUGGUGUUCUUGGGGUUGUGGGCGGACCAGUCGGUGGCCUCACCUUCUUCUGACCGAGAAACCUUCCUGGCAACAUGACUGAUCUUCUUCUUCUUCUUCUUCUUCUUCUUCUUCUUCUUCUUCUUCUUCUUCUUCUUCUUCUUCUUCGGUUGGGUUGAGCUGAGCUGAGUGAGGUGGAUGUGGUGUUUGCUUUG